GACGAACGCUGGCGGCGUGCUUAACACAUGCAAGUCGAACGGAAAGGCCCUGCUUUUGUGGGGUGCUCGAGUGGCGAACGGGUGAGUAACACGUGAGUAACCUGCCCUUGACUUUGGGAUAACUUCAGGAAACUGGGGCUAAUACCGGAUAGGAGCUCCUGCUGCAUGGUGGGGGUUGGAAAGUUUCGGCGGUUGGGGAUAGACUCGCGGCUUAUCAGCUUGUUGGUGGGGUAGUGGCUUACCAAGGCUUUGACGGGUAGCCGGCCUGAGAGGGUGACCGGCCACAUUGGGACUGAGAUACGGCCCAGACGCCUACGGGAGGCAGCAGUGGGGAAUAUUGCACAAUGGGCGGAAGCCUGAUGCAGCAACGCCGCGUGCGGGAUGACGGCCUUCGGGUUGUAAACCGCUUUCGCCUGUGACGAAGCGUGAGUGACGGUAAUGGGUAAAGAAGCACCGGCUAACUACGUG
rnacentral:rRNA from 1 species